rfam:TPA: Bos taurus chromosome 7, whole genome shotgun sequence.
GUCAGGAUGGCCGAGUGGUCUAAGGCGCCAGACUCAAGGUGUCUACCUUCCCCUAGGGCAUUCUGGUCUCCGAAUGGAGGCGUGGGUUCGAAUCCCACUUCUGACA